UACGUAGGGUGCAAGCGUUGUCCGGAAUUAUUGGGCGUAAAGAGCUCGUAGGCGGUUUGUCGCGUCUGCUGUGAAAUCCCGAGGCUCAACCUCGGGCCUGCAGUGGGUACGGGCAGACUAGAGUGCGGUAGGGGAGAUUGGAAUUCCUGGUGUAGCGGUGGAAUGCGCAGAUAUCAGGAGGAACACCGAUGGCGAAGGCAGAUCUCUGGGCCGUAACUGACGCUGAGGAGCGAAAGCGUGGGGAGCGAACAGGAUUAGAU
rnacentral:rRNA from 1 species